CGACCCUGGGGACAGAGCGGAA
rnacentral:misc_RNA from 1 species